rnacentral:rRNA from 1 species
GGGGAAUAUUGCACAAUGGGCGCAAGCCUGAUGCAGCGACGCCGCGUGGGGGAUGACGGCCUUCGGGUUGUAAACUCCUUUCAACCAUGACGAAGCUUUCGGGUGACGGUAGUGGUAGAAGAAGCACCGGCUAACUACGUGCCAGCAGCCGCGGUAAUACGUAGGGUGCGAGCGUUGUCCGGAAUUACUGGGCGUAAAGAGCUCGUAGGUGGUUUGUCGCGUCGUCUGUGAAAUUCCGGGGCUUAACUCCGGGCGUGCAGGCGAUACGGGCAUAACUUGAGUGCUGUAGGGGAGAACGGAAUUCCUGGUGGAGCGGUGGAAUGCGCAGAUAUCAGGAGGAACACCAGUGGCGAAGGCGGUUCUCUGGACAUUUCCUGACGCUGAGAAGCGAAAGCGUGGGGAGCAAACA